rnacentral:rRNA from 2 species
UGCUUUGAAAACUGUUGAUCUAGAAUGUGGGAGAGGUAGAUGGAAUUUCUGGUGUAGGGGUAAAAUCCGUAGAGAUCAGAAGGAAUACCGAUUGCGAAGGCGAUUUACUGGAACACAAUUGACGCUGAGAUGCGAAAGCGUGGGGAGCAAACAGGAUUAGAUACCCUGGUAGUCCACGCCCUAAACGAUGUACACUAGUUGUUGUGAGACUAGAUCUUGCAGUAAUGUAGUUAACACAUUAAGUGUACCGCCUGGGGAGUACGGUCGCAAGAUUAAAACUCAAAGGAAUAGACGGGGACCCGCACAAGCGGUGGAGCAUGUGGUUUAAUUCGACGAUACACGAAGAACCUUACCUGGACUUGACAUAGUAAGAACUUUCUAGAGAUAGAUUGGUGUCUGCUUGCAGAAACUUAUAUACAGGUGCUGCACGGCUGUCGUCAGCUCGUGUCGUGAGAUGUUGGGUUAAGUCCCGCAACGAGCGCAACCCUCGUGUUUAGUUGCUAACAGUUCGGCUGAGAACUCUAAACAGACUGCCUACGCAAGUAGGAGGAAGGUGAGGACGACGUCAAGUCAUCAUGGCCCUUACGUCCAGGGCUACACACGUGCUACAAUGGGAUAUACAAAGAGCCGCAAUACGGUGACGUGGAGCAAAUCUUAUAAAAUAUCUCCCAGUUCGGAUUGUAGUCUGCAACUCGACUACAUGAAGUUGGAAUCGCUAGUAAUCGUAGAUCAGCUAUGCUACGGUGAAUACGUUCC